CCUACGGGGGGCUGCAGUAGGGAAUAUUGCUCAAUGGGGGAAACCCUGAAGCAGCAACGCCGCGUGGAGGAAGAAGGUUUUCGGAUUGUAAACUCCUUUUGUCAGAGAAGAUAAUGACGGUAUCCAACGAAUAAGCACCGGCUAACUCCGUGCCAGCAGCCGCGGUAAUACGGAGGGUGCAAGCGUUACUCGGAAUCACUGGGCGUAAAGAGCGCGUAGGCGGGAUAGCAAGUCAGAUGUGAAAUCCUCGGGCUUAACCAUAGAACUGCAUUUGAAACUGUUAUUCUAGAGUAUGGGAGAGGUAGGUGGAAUUCUUGGUGUAGCGGUAAAAUGCGUAGAGAUCAAGAGGAAUACUCGUGGCGAAGGCGACCUGCUGGAACAUAACUGACGCUGAGGCGCGAAAGCGUGGGGAGCAAACAGGAUUAGAUACCCGAGUAGUC
rnacentral:rRNA from 1 species